rnacentral:lncRNA from 1 species
AUACCUAUAAAGAAGGUUGGAGGCGGCAUUCCCUCCGUUGUCUCUCGAGAAGCUGCCCCCGGCAAUGAAGAUGAAGCCCCCCAGCACAGCGACGCAGUGGUGGCUCCGGCGGGCCGGCAGGGAUGUCUCCUUCACCCACUGCUCAUUCUUGGUGUCUAGGUAGCAGGUGUCAUCGCUCAGCUCCAGACACCGCUCAGAGACCUCGCCCCCCACGAAGAGCAAGCACUCCUCGGAGCGCAGCAGCGUUCGCUUCGUCUGCAGGACAGGCUGGGCCACCAGGCUGUUGUGGUAGUGCAUGGCCUCCUCCACAAAGCCCUCGCCGUUGGCCUCGCUGGGCAGCAGAGAGCACAUGGCCAGCUUCACCCGCUGUAGCAGGAUGUCCUCGGGGAAGAGGGGGAAGCGGAUGUUCUCCAGAACGCGGCGGGUGUGCACCUCGCGCUCCGGCUGCUGCGUGAGCCACUGCAGAGCCACCUGCAGCAGGUCGUAUUCCCAUUUGUGCUGUACCUGGCCACUGCUCAGGUAGACACACAGCUUCUGCACGGAGAUGGACUGCAGGAAGUCAGGCGUGAAGGACAGCGUGCUGAAGUGGCUCAGUACGAAGCUAUCGAUGAAGGCAUCGAGCCUCUUGAGACUGUAGAUGGAGGCCAGCUCCUGUAGGUAGAGAUAGUUGUCCUCGCUCACCUCCUGCUCCAGGUACUCACAGCAGAAAUCCACCACGGUCCAGAUCUGCAGCAGAUGCGCCGUCUCCAGGAUGUAGUCAAUGUUGCUGCCGUCCAGCUCCAGCUCGCUGCUGUAGAGGAAAUCUACCACGGCCUUGAGCCCCACGUAGGAGGUGCCCACCAGCUCCACCUCCUUCUGGAAAGCUUCGCGCAUGCCCAGUGUGAACAUGGAGUUGAAGUAGUCGCUGCACACAGCCAGAAGGUUGCGGUGGGCUGGCACUUGCUGCUCUUCGACCACCAGCACCACGUCGCAGAAGAGGCCGUGCAGCCGCUGCUCGUUCAGCCGCUGCAGCACCGCAGUAGAGUGGUCAGGCCAGUGGUACACCUGCACAAGAAGGUGUGUUAUGGAAUGGUGCACUGAGCUGUCACCCACAGCCUGCCGGGACCGCAGUCGGACCCCAGAGGUCGUGAUAUGAUUGUGAUGAUGGAACACGAGCCCCGGAAGUAAACCCCAGAUCGUCACAGCGCUUCUGAGAGCAUGUGUCUCCUGCCUUCUUUCCCUCCCUCCUGAAAUAAGUUUUAAAAUUUCGGCUAGGCAUGGUGGCACUUGCUUAUAAUCUUAGCACUCAAGAGGCAGAGGUUGGCAGGCCUCUGUGAGGUCAAGGCCAGUCUGGUGGUCUACCUAGAAAUUUCCAGGCUAGCCAGGAUGACAUAGAGACACUGUCUCAAAUAAAGUUAAACAAGUGAGUAACAUUAUGUAUUAGCCUGUGUGCACAUUCGAGCACAGUGUGGAUGUGCAGGGGAGAAGACGGAGAAGACAGCUUUCUCUCAUUCUGUCCGGGACCUCCGCGGGACAGAGCUCAGGUUGUCUGGCAGUCUUAAGCAGUAAGGGAUUUUCCAUCUUAAGCUUUCUAACCAGCUCCACUAUAUAUAUUUCCUAGAAACUGUCUGCUUGGCAAAUCUCUACGAGUUCAAGGCCAGCUUGGUUUACAGAGGGAGUUCUGGGAUAGCUAGGGCUAUUAGACAGAGAAAUCCUGUCUUGAAAAAUCAAAACCAAGAAACUGUCUGCUUGCUUUCUGUCUUCCUCCUUAUAACCAGGAGUCUAAGAGUUUACAUUUGUCUCUUUCCUUUCCUUCGUCUUCUAGGUCAUGAUAGAUGGUUUUUGUUUUUUCAGAAUGUUUUUUUAACACACACACACACACUAUUGCUCUCUUCAGACACACCUGAAGAGGGCACUGGAUCCCCUUACAGAUGGUUGUGAGCCAUGGCUGGGACUUGAACUCAGGACCUUUGGAAGAGCAGCCAGUGUUCUUAACUUCUGAGCCAUCUCUCCAGCCCCGUGACAGAUGUUUUGUAAAUGUUUUCUCAUCAGAAAAGUGGCACUCCCUAGGGAGAAGCCCCUAAAGUCCAGAUGGACCAGCUCUGUCUCCUGCUGGCUGUGUGGUCUUAGGUUAGCCACAGACCCUCUCUAAGUCUGCAUAUUUAUAAUUUAGAGUUAGGGAUCAGUCCAUUGGAACGCUCAGCAGGCACUUGGGAAGCUUUUUCUGUGCUUGAGGCCCUGAGAGGAGGCAGCCUUCACAGCCAGGUUAACCCCUCUCCCCCAUCCACUGCCCAGACUCCGGAGCCCAUAGCCGUUACCACCUAUCCGAUGCAUGCACUUGGAUCCUAGGCUGAGAACCCAGGGACACUGUAGGAGUGCUGUCCUUCUCAGGGCUCAUUUUGUGCUGUCCAUGAGACAGAAGCAGGUAGGAGAAGGGAGAGGAUGGAGAAAUGAGAAAAGGAGAAAGGAAGAGGAAGAAGACAAGAAGAAAAUUCAAC